rnacentral:rRNA from 1 species
GACGAACGCUGGCGGCGUGCUUAACACAUGCAAGUCGAACGGAAAUGCCCUGAUUGUGUGGGGUGCUCGAGUAGCGAAAGGGGGAGUAACAGGGUAGUAACCUGCCCGUUACUUUGCGAUAACGCCAGGAAAAUGGGGCGGAUACCGGAGAUAAUCUCCCGUUGUAUGAUUUGGGUUGGAAAGGUUCGGCGGUUGGGGAUGGACUGGCGGCUUAUGAGCUUGUUGGUGGGGUAGUGGCUGACCAAGGCUUUGACGGGUAGCCGGCCUGAGAGGGUGACCGGGCACAUUGGGCCUGGGGUACGGCCCAGACUCCUACGGGAGGCAGCAGUGGGGGAUAUUGCACAAUGGGCGGCAGCAUGAUGCAGCAACGCCGGGUGCGGGAUGACGGUCUUUGGGUUGUAACCCGCUUUAGCGCGUGAAGAAGAGUGAGUGACGGUAAUGGGUCAAGAAGCAACGGCUAACUACGUG